GGAUGUAAGAUCUGGCUGCAACAUCUGUCAUCUCAUUGAUUGCUAGGGUUGAUUCGGCUGAUCUGUCUAAGAGGGUGUCCCCUUUCUCCCUCACCACUCAAAGAGGAAGACACCCCCCAUAGAGAAGAACCUUAUACGAGUAGCUGCACUCCCCUGAUACAACCUCCAAACAAGCUCUCAAAACUGUGAGCAACAAAAACAAAAUUGUUUAAAUCCAGGCAGUGGAGGAUGGCUU
rnacentral:snRNA from 1 species